rnacentral:rRNA from 1 species
CGCUCUGAACAAAUCAUAAGAGGUCCAGCCUGCCCAGUGACAAAGUUCAACGGCCGCGGUACCCUGACCGUGCGAAGGUAGCAUAAUCACUUGUUCUUUAAAUAGGGACUUGUAUCAACGGCACUACGAAGGCUAUACUGUCUCCUUUUUCUAAUCAGUGAAACUGAUCUCCCCGUGAAGAAGCGGGGAUUAAAGUAUAAGACGAGAAGACCCCAUGGAGCUUUAAACUCACCAUGCACCUAUGUGCUCCUACACCCUUAAACACAAUAGGUCUACAUGUUAGUUUUAGGUUGGGGUACCACGGAGUAUAACUUAACCUCCAUAGCAAAUGGGCUAAUACCCUUAUCCACGAUACACAACUCUAAGAAUUAUUAAACUAAUGCUUACGACCCGAUAUUCGAUCAAUGAACUAAGUACCCUGGGGAUAACAGCCAAUCUACUUCAACAGCGCAUAUCGACAAGUAGGUUACGACCUCGAUGUCGGCAUCAGGGUAUCCUGGUGGUCAGCGGCACCAACGGUUCGUUUGUUCAACGAUUAAAACCCU